AUGUCCCAUUUCAGUUGCGAUACCAGACGUGAUCACGGCUGCGUCUGUUUAUUCAUGUACGCACAGAGAGGAGAGCCCUUACUUCCCGUAGAAGAGGCCGACGUGCGAGAUGGUGGCAGCGAUGGUGGCGAAGCUGAGCCCGUAAGCGAGAGCAAAGAAGGUACUGAUGUUGACCCUGCCGAGCUCAUUGUAAGCGUCAUAGUCGAGCUCGAACUGCUUGUUCACAAUGGCGUCGAUGUCGUAGUCCGUCCCGUUGGACAUGAAGAGCUGCGUGGAGAAGAGGGGGAACGUCUUGGCGUGGUACAGGUUGGUGCCCCAGUACGCCGUGGGCACCAGCACCCAGACGAAGAAGACGUAGCCGACGAAGAUGUUGGCGAUGGCGAAGAAGGGCGUGAUGAGCGGGCUGCCGAGGUAGGAGGCGACGGUCUCCCAGUCGAGGGUGAAGGCUCCGAGGCCCAGGCCUUUGAGGCCGGAGCCGAGCUGCUGCGCGGUCACCGACUUGGGGAACGCCCAGCACACCCAUGCGAUGGACGUCAGGCUCUGGAAGAUGAAGCCUGGCAGGGCGUAAUACGAGAAGCUGCAGAUGAGCACCACCAGGAAGAACUUGAAGCGUGA
rnacentral:rRNA from 1 species